ACCAGCAUUCGCAGAAGCAGUCAUAGAAGGUUCAGCCGAAGGAGUUGCUUUGGUAGGAAUACGCGGUGGCUGGACAUUCACAGCAGGUUUUGAAGUAGCACUUGGAUUAUAAUAAUUGGAAACACCAGGCAAUUGAGGAUUUGGUUGUUGAGAAACCUGAUUUGCUCCGUAAUUAACAGGAGGGAUAUAUAAAGGUGUAGUACUAGGUAAAUUGGAUGUAGAUAUCGCGGGAUUUUGAGAAGCAAUUCCCUGAUUAAAAUUUUGCCCGCUAGAAGCCUCUACUGAAGGAGGAAUUGGAGGCAUCAAUACUUCAGCAACAUUAUUUUGAGGAUAAGCUGAUUGGUGAAUUGGAGGGAUUUGCUGAAAGGCAGGUAGAUGGUUACUUGGAGGCUGAGAAGUAGAUUUGGUUUGAGAGGGAUGUUCCUGAUCAAUAUGGGUAACUUGAUUAUUAGAAGCGGCAAGUUCAGAUCUUUCUCCACGAUUUCUAUAACUUGCGGUAUUCGCUUCGACACCUAAUUCUUCAAGCUCUCGCUUCAACUUGUUGAUAUCUUUUUCGUACCUAUAAAUGUUAGUAAAUUGGUGAAGACAGAUGUUAUAAAGGUUUUUUUUUUUUUACUUCAAGCAUAUAAAUCUCGAGCGACACGUAUGCUAUUAUAAAAUAAUGAUGAAUUUCACAGAAAAGAAGUAGAUACUAUAUAAUCCCUCGA